AGUGAACGCUGGCGGUAGGCCUAGCACAUGCAAGUCGAACGGCAGCACAGUAAGAGCUUGCUCUUACGGGUGGCGAGUGGCGGACGGGUGAGGAAUACAUCGGAAUCUACUUUUUCGUGGGGGAUAACGUAGGGAAACUUACGCUAAUACCGCAUACGACCUACGGGUGAAAGCAGGGGAUCUUCGGACCUUGCGCGAUUGAAUGAGCCGAUGUCGGAUUAGCUAGUUGGCGGGGUAAAGGCCCACCAAGGCGACGAUCCGUAGCUGGCCUGAGAGGAUGAUCAGCCACACUGGAACUGAGACACGGUCCAGACUCCUACGGGAGGCAGCAGUGGGGAAUAUUGGACAAUGGGCGCAAGCCUGAUCCAGCCAUACCGCGUGGGUGAAGAAGGCCUUCGGGUUGUAAAGCCCUUUUGUUGGGAAAGAAAAGCAGCAGGUUAAUACCCCGCUGUUCUGACGGUACCCAAAGAAUAAGCACCGGCUAACUUCGUG
rnacentral:rRNA from 1 species